rnacentral:rRNA from 1 species
UACGUAGGGUGCAAGCGUUGUCCGGAAUUCUUGGGCGUAAAGAGCUCGUAGGCGGUUCGUCGCGUCGGCUGUGAAAACCUGAGGCUCAACCUCAGGCCUGCAGUCGAUACGGGCGGACUUGAGUACUGCAGGGGAGACUGGAAUUCCUGGUGUAGCGGUGAAAUGCGCAGAUAUCAGGAGGAACACCGGUGGCGAAGGCGGGUCUCUGGGCAGUAACUGACGCUGAGGAGCGAAAGCGUGGGGAGCGAACAGG